rnacentral:rRNA from 1 species
GAUUUCCUGAGUAGCGGCGAGCGAAACGGCACAUAGCCCAAACCAAGAGGCUUGCCUCUUGGGGUUGUAGGACAUUCUAUACGGAGUUACAAAGGAACGAGGUAGACGAAGCGACCUGGAAAGGUCCGUCGUAGAGGGUAACAACCCCGUAGUCGAAACUUCGUUCUCUCUUGAAUGUAUCCUGAGUACGGCGGAACACGUGAAAUUCCGUCGGAAUCUGGGAGGACCAUCUCCCAAGGCUAAAUACUCCCUAGUGAUCGAUAGUGAACCAGUACCGU